UACGUAGGGGGCAAGCGUUGUCCGGAAUUAUUGGGCGUAAAGCGCGCGCAGGCGGUUGGUUAAGUCUGAUGUUUAAGCCCGGGGCUCAACCCCGGUUCGCAUCGGAAACUGGCUAACUUGAGUGUAGGAGAGGAAAGUGGAAUUCCACGUGUAGCGGUGAAAUGGCGUAGAGAUGUGGAGGAACACCAGUGGCGAAGGCGACUUUCUGGCCUAUAACUGACGCUGAGGCGCGAAAGCGUGGGGAGCAAACAGG
rnacentral:rRNA from 1 species